rnacentral:rRNA from 1 species
GGACCCGCACAAGUAGUGGAGCAUGUGGUUUAAUUCGAAGAUACGCGCAGAACCUUACCAACACUUGACAUGUUCGUCGCGACUUUAAGAGAUUAAAGUUUUCGGUUCGGCCGGACGAAACACAGGUGCUGCAUGGCUGUCGUCAGCUCGUGUCGUGAGAUGUUGGGUUAAGUCCCGCAACGAGCGCAACCCUCACUUUUAGUUGCCAUCAUUUAGUUGGGCACUCUGAAAGAACUGCCAGUGAUAAGCUGGAGGAAGGUGGGGAUGACGUCAAGUCCUCAUGGCCCUUACGUGUUGGGCUACACACGUGCUACAAUGGUUAAGACAAAGAGUUGCCAGCUUGCAAAAGUCAGCUAAUCUCAUAAACUUAGCCUAAGUUCGGAUUGUAGGCUGCAACUCGCCUGCAUGAAGUCGGAAUCGCUAGUAAUCG